GCUCUGGCAGUGCUGGAAUGAGGGGCUCUGGCGACCUCUGGACAGAGAAGCUCUGGCGCCUCUGGACUGAGGAGCGGGAGCUCUGGCAGCGCCGGACAGGCGGGAACACCUGUGUUGAUGGGACGGAGAGACAGUCUGGUGCAGGGUGCCGGCACUGGUGGUACCGGGCUGGGGACACACACCUCAGGGCGAAUGCCUUGCAUACUACGCCAAAUCAACUACGGCAAAUCAACUCUUCACACUCCCCCAAUUCUAUUAACACCUCCUCGAGUGUCUCCUCAUCUCCCAUCCGUUCACUCUCCUCCAUUCUGUUCAAUAACUCCUCGACCCUCUCAGACUCAGCCCUCAGCUUCGCCGACAGCUCCGAUAACAUCCAUGGCUCCUUACGGUAAACAGGGGGAGUUGGCUCAGGUCUGGCUCCUGACUCUGCCACACUCUCCUUGUCCGACUCGAGUGAAAUCAUCGUUAAUAUCAUUCAUAUCAAUAUCAUCUUUGUCUAAAUGUAUGUAUUUAUUUCAGAUAAAUGUUUUCUUCCUUCCGCAACCCCAGCCACUGCAAUAACAAUAAUUUAUUCUAUAUUUGUUUUGAAUAAGGAGUUGUCGGAUAACUCCUGCAUUGAUUGAGGCUAGACAGUAGAUUUGUAAUCUUAUUCGUCACCGAAACUAUAUUGAACAAAAAUCAGUAUCUGGUGUGACCACCAUUUGUCUUAUGUAUCGCUACACAUCUACUUUGCUUAGAGUUAAUCCGGCUGUUGAUUGUGGCCUGUGGAAUUGACAUCCCUCUCCUCUUUUCAAUGGCUGUGCGAAGUUGCUGGAUAUUGGCGGGAACUGGAACACGCUGUCGUACACGUCGUUCCAGAUCAUCCCACCUUGUGGAGUCCAUUCCCCGACAAAUUGAGACUGUUCUGAGGGCAAAAGGGGGUACAACUUAAUAUUAAAGUGUUGUUUUAUAUACUUUUGUACACAAAAUACUGUAUAUAGUUAUAGAUAGGCUAGACUGCAUUGUCUGCAUAAUAGUGAUUUGUGAAGAUUGUAGCUAUAGCCUACCAGAUUCCUUCAUUUCUUUCCACCAACAGGAAAUAAUGGUUAGUACAGCAUGCCAAACUGACCCCUGGGUGUCAGAGUGUUCCUGUGCUGCGGUGGGGAAGAGUUUCACCGGAGCCAUUACUAAAGAGCUCGAGGCCUAGCUAAAUUGCGCUCACCAUAAUCAGUAUACAACCGAGUCCCGCCACAGAUCGAGUUGACAGAGAGAGCGAGUGAGAUGAGGGAAGACCAGGAUUCGCUGUAUGAAACUGAGAGCUCAGAAUUACAAUCAUCACAGUGCGAGCGAGCCAUGAGAUACUAUCGAAGAGUAUGUGCAAGAUCCGAAAUAUAGCAUGCUGAAGGGGUUGUUCAUGAGCCAGGAUGUCGAGCAGGUGUCAUCAGUUCAUCCCUGAAAAUAAAUGUUUUUUUUCUCCAUCACCAUGGAGACCAUCGAGUGUGUUGUGGACCACAGGAGGAAGUUGGAAGUCCCAGACCAGAGUGGGAAAUGUUUGCAGGGAAUCUGUUGGUGCCAUCACCGGUCUUCCUAACUGACGGCUCCCACUCCACAUUUGUAGAAACAUGUUGCCUCCUCAGCCUGGUGUCCAUGUCGCUGCGACAGUUUGCAAACCAACCUUGCAUCUACAUUGUGCCAGAGGUUAAACAUGUGGGCCCAGCAAACAGAGGCGAUUCUGGCUCGAAUUGGUGACAGUCCACUGAUUGUAUCUGGAGAUGCACGGCGUGAUUCGCCAGGCCACUGUGCCUUCUUUGGCACUUACACCGUCCUGGACUCUGCUUCCCACCUGAUCCUGCCCAGGAGACUUUGCAUGUGACUGAAUUGAAGAAUGGCUACUGGUUGGACAGAGGGACAGAGAGAUUAGUGAGGUGCCUGCAAACACAUGAUUUAUUUGAUUAACCAUUGAGAUAGAACUCUUUUACAAGAGAGCCCUGUGUAUGUUUACAAAUAAAGCACAGUACACAUACAUAAAACACAACAGCCCAACAAAACGCACUAUAGUAAAACACAUAAUACACAACAUUAAACCUAUUUAAGAAAAGCAAUCGCAAUGCUGAAACAUAAAAGUUAUUUUAAAAUCCUUUUGAGGUAAGCUAUAGCCUCACCUACAUUUUGUAGCUAGCCUCAGGGUUGUAAGUGUGCAUUUGGUGAAUGUACGAAGAUCACUUAGGUCACUUUUUUAGUAAUAAUGCUUUUAUUAUUUUCCUUAACUGGCCCAUGAAUGCAGCAUUGAAACCCUGGCCACUGACAGGUAUCCACACGUGACGGUGCACUUGAGGGCAUGAGCUUUGGCACAUUGCCAAAGGUGCGAGGAAGAAGCUAGUGGCCACCAGGAAGCCAGAGGUACUGCCAUGGAAGAGGGCAUUAAACACACCACUUGUGGUACUGUGAUGCCACUGUUGGUGGGAGUGUCCAGGUGCUGAAAGAAAUGUGGAUCACCACAGUUCGCCCCGUUACAAAUGAGCACCAGUGAGUCACUGGAGAUACACUCGACUGCUGUGAGCACCCCCACCCUUCACACCUGAAGAAGGAACACAUCCUCAACCCGAGAUUGUUGAAGGAUCUCGAAAGUGACAAAGUGUGUUCAGACAGGUGAACUUGAGAGUGUACAUGCCCUGUACACUAAAUACGUGCCCAGGAGGAACACGUUCGGCCUACAGGGGAUGUCGCAAGACUCCAAGUGGCUGCCUUAGACCACAAUCAUUCGGUGGACAGACAUCAGGCUACAACACAUGAGGGAGUACUCCGUUUCAAGCAAGAGUUCUCCAAGCAUGCCAGGGCGUUUGUGGUGAAACCCAUCAAGGGGGAGAAGACAUGGUGUUUCAGGUCUGAGCUUCUAGACUGCUUCGUUGACCGCAGUGCCAAUGGACCAUCCCAGCGGACUCUCCUGGGUGCCCAAAGAGAGAGAGUGGCGGUCACCUUGGGAAAGCGGACUGAUGUUCCGAAAAUGGAGAAGGAGCAGGCCAUAUAACAGCGAAUUCAAAGAUACACCCAUCCAUAGAGGGAAUCGGAGUGGAAUGGCUUUUCCACAGAUUCUUUUGACCUGUUAAACAGAUGUGCUUCCUUGUCUCGGACCUGCUGUCUCGACUCUCUCCCGGACCUGCUGUCUCGACUCUCUCUCCCGGAACUGCUGUCUCGACUCUCUCUCCCGGAACUGCUGUUUCGACUCUCUCUCCCGGACCUGCUGUUUCGACUCUCUCUCCCGGACCUGCUGUCUCGACUCUCUCUCCCGGACCUGCUGUUUCGACUCUCUCUCCCGGACCUGCUGUUUUGACUCUCUCUCCCGGACCUGCUGUCUCGACUCUCUCUCCCGGACCUGCUGUCUCGACUCUCUCUCCCGGACCUGCUGUUUUGACUCUCUCUCCCGGACCUGCUGUCUCGACUCUCUCUCCCGGACCUGCUGUCUCGACUCUCUCUCCCGGACCUGCUGUCUCGACUCUCUCUCCCGGACCUGCUGUCUCGACCUCUGAAUACUCGGCUAUGAAAAGCCAGCUGUCAUUUGCUCCUGAGGUGUUGAACUGUUGCACCCUCUAUAACCAUUGUGGUUGUUAUUAUAUUGAUGUAAAAGGGGCUUUUUUUAUAGUAUCUGUAACAUAUUUUGGUGUGUAUUUAAUCUGCAACUUCAUUUCCUAAAGGGGCAAUCAGCAGUAGAAACAAUAACAAAGUGUUCUCCAUGCCCCUGAUUGGGUAAAAAGCUCUGGGGCUGGAGAAAUGUAACCACUCUAAAAUGCAUAGACAGAGCAAUCAGUGGAAGGACUGGCCACCCAUGAUAUCAAAGUUAUAGUUUUUAACCAUGUUUUGGGGCUAUAUUGUGUUUGUUUAAAUGUUUUUAUUUUAUUUUUUACAAACGUUGGAGUAAAACAAGCUUAUAUUUUGGAUUCUGAUGGGGUACGACAGUUGAACUAAGCUCAUGAGACAUUUAUAAGUCAUAUUCUUCAAGAGUCAAUGGGUACAUGUCAUUAAUUUAUAACUACAAAAAUGUAUGUAGCAAUUGCUCUUUGCUCCUUUUAGGUAAGCUACUGUUGUACGUGUCUAUUGAGCUUGUGCACGAGGCAAAGCCUUGCAACCACAGCCUUUCACAGCCUUUCCUGUGAAUCCUCUUCUUGUUACAUUGGAACUUGUAAAAACAAUGUAAUAACCCUGCAACUUACUAUGCAUUGUAAUCCUCUUUCUCUGAUCUGUUUCCACUACCAUGUACCCAGUUCGCUUUGGAUAAAAGCAUCUGCUAAUGUUAUUAGUCUUCUUUGAGUCU